UGUGACUGAGGCAUCAUGACAUGCAUCAAGAGUGAGUCAUAGACAGAUGUGACGGAGAGAAUCCGGUAAUUUAAAAUAAAACAUUGUUCAGAAUCACAUAAUAAAUAAAACGGUACCAAUUGGCCUUGUUCUAUGUGUAAGAAAAUGUGAUUACGUAUCCUCUAGGUGUUUCAAUGCAAGUUUUAGUAAAAAAAAAAAAAAUGUAUAUAUGUAUACUGCACAGUCCUAUAAAUAAAACAUGAUUAAAUGUUCUAAUGGAUGCCCUUCCAGUGCAGAAUACAUGAUUCACUCCCCAAUGUGUUUCCCAAAAGUAUGAUGAAAUAUGAUUAAGUGCCCUUGAGGGGUCAAUGUGUGCAAAAAAAUCACAAUGAAGUGUUUUUUAGGGUGCCAUUGCAUGUAAGGAAAAUCGAUGAGAUUGCACUUCCAGUGAGGAAUUCCUGAUUUACGACUCAUGACCUGUGGCAAUACAGUGCAGUGCCCUAUAGGGUUCCACUAAGUCCAAAGGAACAGCUAAGAGGUGCCCUUUAUGCUUUUUUCCCCUCUCUGCCCUCAAAUGUGGCCACCCUGCAGUAAACAUAAACAGAGUGCAGGCAAGGCAGAGAUAUAAGCAGAGACAGAUCCUCAUCAAAUGCAGGCUGAGUGAGCAGGGCCUUGUCAAAGAGAAGGGAUGACAGAUGAGAGCUUGUAACACAUGAGGCCCUGGUACACAGAAGAGCACAGGAGAACCUGGAACAAGGGGGAGCCUGGACUAUAGGUGAACCUGGAACUAAGGGACAAUCUUGGACACAGGAGAACCUGGGACAAAGGAGAACAUUAAACACAGGAGAGUAAUCUGUCAUCUCACACUGUCAUCUUAAAUGCAUUACAUUAACACAACCAACAACUCCUACUAUAUCGCAACCCUUCACUUUUUGACUUAUUUGGGAAAUACUAUCAUUUGCAUUGCCUCACUUUUUCUUUUUUAUUACUUUAUUAUUUGAUUUUCCUAGUUUUUAUAGUUUUUCAUAUUUUUUAUAGCACCAGCACAACAUGACACAUUCCUUGUACAUGCAACCCAUGAUACUUGGCAAUAAAAAUGAUUCUGAUUCUGAGGAGAGCGUGGAAUAAAGGAAAACUUAGGCCACAAGAAAACAGAGAUUGUGCUUGCACAUUAUAAAACCAGAGGUCGAGAAUGUGCUGUUCUUUCUCCACACCUGACAAACAAAUCAGCAAUUUAGAAAAUCUCUAAUCACACAUUUCAAAAUAACAAAUUAUUGCAUUAUAUCCAAUUCAGUAGAAUUUUAUGGCCUAAGGGACAGUGAUAGACACCAAGCACAUGUUCAAAUUCAUAGCUGUUGUUUGUUGUUGUUUGCUUUUGUAAUAUGUUCUAUGUUUAUGCAUAAUUGUCAGAUAAAUGUGUAUUCUAUGUAGAACAUCUAUGUACAACUACAAUAUUUAAGCUGGCAACACUAUAAUGAUGCAAAUGAAGCACUGUUAAACUUAAUAGUAAUAGAAAGAAAGGGAAGGGGAGAGAAAUAGAAAGAGCAAGAAAGAUCAAUCUAUCUGUGUCACUCUCAUGUAGGAAGCAAUGUUAGUUCAGCCAUUCACUUUCUUUUGCCAUGUUUACAACACUUACUGAGAAAAACAAAAGAAGAUUAUGCUCUCUCUCUCUCUCUCUCUCUCUCUCUCUCUCUCUCUCUCUCUCUCUCUGUACUGUUCCAACAACAAUUUUUUUUGUGCUUCAUUUUAUUUUUAUUCAUUAGGAAUACUAUGCAAUUUUAAGCGAUUCUAUUUCUCAAACAAGGUUACAUCAUAAUAGCAAUCUCUAUUUGAUUAUGAUCUGAUGUAACACUGUGCUAAUAUAAUCAAAUGCAGUUCGCUAUUAUUUACACUUUCAUUUUGGUUCCAAAUGGUUAGCCAAAAUGACCAAGGAACUCGAUGAAUCAAAAAUAAAUGUAAUUCUCUGGAUGUAAAUCUCUAGAUUUAAAUGGUUGAAUUUCAGUGUCGUUUUUAGUCGUUUUCUCACUGAUUUUAUUUAACAGCAGCCUGUUAUACUUAACCUAAUCUUAUAUUUUAUAGCACUGUUGGAUUCUGAAUUCCGAUUUGUUAAAAAUUGUGGAAUGUGUUAGUUUUCAUUGUAACUGCUCAUUCAAACAGGGACUGUUGAGUUUUUCUUCUGUGAGAAGAUGUUUCAUUAACGUUUAUGGAAGGUGGUGUAGUGAUAGUGCUUUGUAACAGUCAGAAGUAAAGUUGUUCUAGAAUGAUUUUGCGUUUUGUAGUUUAACAAAUUGAAAUUCACAGGAAAGUGAAGUAAAAAGAGGAACUAACAUAUUUUCUUGUCAUUUCGCAACAUUUAAUGUAACUUAAUGUAUGAAAACUAUGAUGGCUUGUUGUUUUAUUAAUGAAUACAUUGCAAUCUUUAGAUAGAUAGAUAGAUAGAUAGAUAGAUAGAUAGAUAGAUAGAUAGAUAGAUAGAUAGAUAGAUAGAUAGAUAGAUAGAUAGAUAGAUGGGUGAAAUGAAUACUGAACCAACAUGGCUACUAUUCUAUGCUUGAAUACCAUGCAAUUCAUCUGGACUGCAGCUAAUUGGAUCCAACUUAACCAUGCAACAAGAUAAAGCAUACGCCCAAGCCCUGUAAGAGCAAACAGUCAAAUCCUGUUGAAUUGCUCUAGGAUGAACUGAAUCACAAGGUCAGAAAGAAAUCUCCAACUAGUUAUGAACACCUUUGGGAAGUUUUAAAAGAUGCAGGGCAAAGAACCUGAAUAUUUUCUAUAUACAGUAUUUAUAUUUAGUAUUAAUUU